CGCCGGUAAGGUGAUAUGAACCGUUAUAACCGGCGAUUUCCGAAUGGGGAAACCCAGUGUGACUCGUCACACUAUCAUUAACUGAAUCCAUAGGUUAAUGAGGCGAACCGGGGGAACUGAAACAUCUAAGUACCCCGAGGAAAAGAAAUCAACCGAGAUUCCCCCAGUAGCGGCGAGCGAACGGGGAGGAGCCCAGAGCCUGAAUCAGCAUGUGUGUUAGUGGAAGCGUCUGGAAAGGCGCGCGAUACAGGGUGACAGCCCCGUACACAAAAGCGCAUGUGCUGUGAGCUCGAUGAGUAGGGCGGGACACGUGGUAUCCUGUCUGAAUAUGGGGGGACCAUCCUCCAAGGCUAAAUACUCCUGACUGACCGAUAGUGAACCAGUACCGUGAGGGAAAGGCGAAAAGAACCCCGGCGAGGGGAGUGAAAAAGAACCUGAAACCGU
rnacentral:rRNA from 1 species